rnacentral:lncRNA from 1 species
GCAGACCCAGAAAAGCUAAUUCUGAUAAUCAGGUCGUGAAGGAGGCAUCAGCUGCUUCAUCCACACCCAAACGGAGAGGAAGGAAACCGAAGCUGCAAGGAUCAGGGGAAAUACAUUGUGAUAAGAGGGAGCAGCACCCACCUUUGAGAGGGCCUUCUGGUAGAUAUCUAACUAGGAGUUCAAAGGUUUGGCUUCUGGGCAAAGUGUUGGGCCUUGAAUUUGAGGGUUCCGAUGAAUCUGCUAUCUCUUCUCUUGAAAGCGAUUUAGGAGCUUUUUUAUCCCCUUUUGCUUCUGGUGAUGGAGAAGAUCUGGCUCUCCUGGAACGUCAGAGGGCUGUGCAGUGCAGAGAAGCGGAGGAGUGUCAAAGAGCUGGUCAAGAGAGCACAGUCGGAAUUGAUUCUGUUUCAAGAGACGAAGUUAGAAGCACAGAAAGAGAAGUUUGCACUUAAUUUUGCAAAUUCUCUUAAUUAUGAAUGUGUAGUUGUUAAUGCCACUGGAACUGCUGGAGGUCUCCUAACGAUGUGGAAAGCUUCUACUUUCACCCUAAUCCGUGUCUACAAUGGAGAUAGGUACUUAAUUAUUGAGGUCAAAGACAACAAUCUCAACAUCAAUCUGAUGAUAGGUAAUAUAUAUGGGCCACACAAUGAAGAGGAGAGAGAGGCAUUGUUCUCAGAGAUUGGAAAUGUGAUGCAGAACCGGGAGUGUGGUUGGAUUCUUGGGGGUGAUUUCAAUGCUACCCUCAAUGCUGAAGACAGAAGUGGAAGGCUGGGAGGGAUGGAAGUUUCUUUUUCAAGUUUUGUCAAUGACUGGAAUUUGAUAGAUUUGCCUUUGCAAAACUCAGAAUAUACCUGGUUCAGUUCAAGAAACGGAGGAGUCUGGAGCAGAAUUGACAGAUGGCUUUUAAACGAAGAAGCUUGGUUGUCCCUUGAUGAAGCCAUUCAACGGGUGGAGAAUUGGGGACUCUCAGACCAUAGAGCAGUAAUUUUAGCCAUGGGACAACAUAGCUCAGGACCAAAACCUUUCUUAUUCUACAACAACUGGUUAUUGGAUAAGGGGAUGGUCAGGCUAUAUAUUGCAGACGAAAUCGAAAGACUUGAAAGUUAAAAUUAAAGGGUGGAAGGGUCACUCCAGAUCACACACAGAGGAGAAGAUUAAAUUGUUGGAAGGUGAACUCCAAGUGGUAAUGGAAAUACUGGAAUCUGUGGGCAUGAAUGAGGAGUUGUGAGCUAAGAAGAGUCAGGUGUUAAGUGGCUUGUGGGAGGGAUACAGGAUUGAAGAGUCCAAAUGGCGACAGAAAUCGAGGGUAAAAUGGCUGAAGGAGGGUGAUAAAAACACAUCAUUUUUUCACUUUGUCAGCAAGUCUAGGAGAGCAAAAAAUCACAUUCACAAACUUAAUGUGAGGGGCAAUGAAGUGAAUGAUCCAGCGGUAAUUAGAGACGAAAUCAGGGCCCAUUUCCAAUCCUUCUUUACUCGUGAAGUGAUGAGGAGACCAAAACUGAAGUGUACCAAUUUGCUUAAAUUGUCCAUGGGGGAUAGGCGAAGGUUAGAGGAGGGUUUCUCUGAGAGUGAAAUAUGGGAUGUCCUCAAGCACUGUGACGGUGACAAAGCGCCGGGACCCGACGGUUUUAACUUCAAUUUCUUCAAACACUUCUGGGCAACAAUUAAGGGUGAUAUACUCAAGUUCUUCGAGGAAUUUCAUGCAAAUGGUAAGCUGGUACGAGGCCUCAACGCGGCAUUAAUUUCCUUGAUACCGAAGAAGCCUUGCCAUGUUGAAGUUGCUGAUUUCAGACCCAUAUGUCUGAUAGGCAGCAUCUAUAAACUGGUGUCAAAGGUUCUUGCAGCACGAUUGCAAAAUGCCAAAGAUAAUCUCUGAAAACCAAUUCGCCUUCACUACGGGGCGUCAAAUAGCCGAUUGCAUCUUAAUCGCAGUGAGACUUUGCCAAAGCUUACGAUUCCAUCGAGUGGAACUUUCUCUUGGAGCUGCUCGCUGAAAUGAACUUCGGCGAAAAGUGGAUUUCGUGGAUUAAAACCUGUGUAACUACUGUCUCUUUGGCUAUCCUGAUAAAUGGCUCAGGAAGGACUGGAAAAUAAUGUGAGCCCAUUUGCUGAGUCUCCCUCUCCCUUAUCUCAAUCCUGCAAUGUUGUUGAUAAGGGGUCAGCAGUAAUUCUGGAAAUCUGAUCGUGAAGGAGGCAUCAGCUGCUUCAUCCACACCCAAACGGAGAGGAAGGAAACCGAAGCUGCAAGGAUCAGGGGAAAUACAUUGUGUUAAGAGGGAGCAGCACCCACCUUUGAGAGGGCCUUCUGGUAGAUAUCUAACUAGGAGUUCAAAGGUUUGGCUUCUGGGCAAAGUGUUGGGCCUUGAAUUUGAGGGUUCCGAUGAAUCUGCUAUCUCUUCUCUUGAAAGCGAUUUAGGAGCUUUUUUAUCCCCUUUUGCUUCUGGUGAUGGAGAAGAUCUGGCUCUCCUGGAACGUCAGAGGGCUGUGCAGUGCAGAGAAGCGGAGGAGUGUCAAAGAGCUGGUCAAGAGAGCACAGUCGGAAUUGAUUCUGUUUCAAGAGACGAAGUUAGAAGCACAGAAAGAGAAGUUUGCACUUAAUUUUGCAAAUUCUCUUAAUUAUGAAUGUGUAGUUGUUAAUGCCACUGGAACUGCUGGAGGUCUCCUAACGAUGUGGAAAGCUUCUACUUUCACCCUAAUCCGUGUCUACAAUGGAGAUAGGUACUUAAUUAUUGAGGUCAAAGACAACAAUCUCAACAUCAAUCUGAUGAUAGGUAAUAUAUAUGGGCCACACAAUGAAGAGGAGAGAGAGGCAUUGUUCUCAGAGAUUGGAAAUGUGAUGCAGAACCGGG